UGUCGCUCAAUUGGUAGAGCACUUGACUGCAACUCAAGUUUUUGAGGGUUCGAGUCCCUCCAACG
rnacentral:tRNA from 1 species